AUUGAACGCUGGCGGCAGGCCUAGCACAUGCAAGUCGAGCGGAUGAAGGGAGCUUGCUCCUGGAUUCAGCGGCGGACGGGUGAGUAAUGCCUAGGAAUCUGCCUGGUAGUGGGGGAUAACGUCCGGAAACGGGCGCUAAUACCGCAUACGUCCUGAGGGGGAAAGUGGGGGAUCUUCGGACCUCACGCUAUCAGAUGAGCCUAGGUCGGAUUAGCUAGUUGGUGGGGUAAAGGCCUACCAAGGCGACGAUCCGUAACUGGUCUGAGAGGAUGAUCAGUCACACUGGAACUGAGACACGGUCCAGACUCCUACGGGAGGCAGCAGUGGGGAAUAUUGGACAAUGGGCGAAAGCCUGAUCCAGCCAUGCCGCGUGUGUGAAGAAGGUCUUCGGAUUGUAAAGCACUUUAAGUUGGGAGGAAGGGCAGUAAGUUAAUACCUUGCUGUUUUGACGUUACCAACAGAAUAAGCACCGGCUAACUUCGUG
rnacentral:rRNA from 1 species